CCUACGGGAUGCAGCAGUGGGGAAUAUUGCACAAUGGGCGCAAGCCUGAUGCAGCCAUGCCGCGUGUAUGAAGAAGGCCUUCGGGUUGUAAAGUACUUUCAGCGGGAGGAAGGUGUUGUGGCUAAUAACCACAACAAUUGACGUUACCCGCAGAAGAAGCACCGGCUAACUCCGUGCCAGCAGCCGCGGUAAUACGGGGGGUGCAAGCGUUAAUCGGAAUUACUGGGCGUAAAGCGCACGCAGGCGGUCUGUCAAGUCGGAUGUGAAAUCCCCGGGCUCAACCUGGGAACUGCAUUCGAAACUGGCAGGCUAGAGUCUUGUAGAGGGGGGUAGAAUUCCAGGUGUAGCGGUGAAAUGCGUAGAGAUCUGGAGGAAUACCGGUGGCGAAGGCGGCCCCCUGAACAAAGACUGACGCUCAGGUGCGAAAGCGUGGGGAGCAAACAGGAUUAGAUACCCUGGUAGUC
rnacentral:rRNA from 1 species